ACUUCAUAAACCUUUGACGAUUGAGUCAUGUUGCCUCGGCGGGUUCUCCCGCCAGAGGAUACAUCAAAACUCCUGUUUUAACGGUGUUGUCUGAGCUGCAAGCAACGAAUCAUACAACUUUCAAGCAACGGAUCUCUUGGUUCUGGCAUCGAUGAAGAACGCAGUCGAAAGUGCGAUAAGUAGUGUGAAUUGCAGAAUUCAGUGAAUCAUCGAAUCUUUGAACGCACAUUGCGCCCCUUGGUAUCCCGAGGGGCAUGCCUGUUCGAGCGUCAUUUCACCACUCAAGCCCGGCUUGGUGUUGGGCGACGUCUCCUUUAGGGACGCGCCUCGAAACGCUCGGCGGCGUGGCACCGGCUUUAAGCGUAGCANAAUCUUUCGCUUUGAGAGUCGGGGCCUCGUCUGCCGGAAGACCUACUCGUAAGGUUGACCUCGGAUCAGGUAGGGAUACCCGCU
rnacentral:rRNA from 1 species